UUAAGUUAUAAACAACAUCAAAAGUGAAAAUAAGCUAGCAGAUUGUUGAGCACUUAAAGGAUAUUGUUGUUUGCAAAUUAUAUGAAAAUUACAGAGACAAUAGUCAUGAUAAUAUAGAUUAAGUUAUAAACAACAUCAAAAGUGAAAAUAAGCUGCUAGAUUUCAUGUUCUUGCUAUAGAAAUCCAAAUCCAAGUCAUUUGUAGAGAAAUUGCUAGUUUUCCUGCGAUGAUGAUGAGGAUGUUGUCCGUUGUUUUUUCAAAGGAGGAAGUGAGUGAUCAAAUGUCUCAGAUGUAGCUAUGUCUCCUAAGUUUCCUUGGACUUCAAUUGCUUUGUCAUGCUCAUCUUCAUGACUAUUGUAAUCAAAGGAGUUAA